GAGCUUAGAAACGCUCAAGAUUGAGAAAGGCAGUGAGAUCACCUAACAUACCCUUUUGCCCAAAUAGCUGAGCACAUCACCAUAGGUAGUCACUAGUUCCUGACUUCAACCCCGCUGUUCUUCCUACCAGCUUCCAGGAGUGCUCUGUCAGUCCUGCUCCCAGUCCUUCCUCUUCUCUCUCCUCACUGUUCCUUUCCAAGGUAGGGCUGCCUUUGUAAGAGAGAAGCUGGCAGGUGGCUGGGAAACAAGGACGGAUUUUUCCCUAGCCCUUUCUUAUGCAGAAGGUGUGGGUGUAUUAUGUACGCUGUUAAGCUCCUGAUCACUUUUGAUCAUAUUAUGAGAGAGUCUCUGAGGGAGAGCUGAGAAGGAAGAGGUUUAUUCAUGUUUUCUGAUCUGGCACUGUGCUUUGCACUCUUUCAGGCUUCCAUUCUGUCCAUACAGGGGCGCUGUUGUCCGGGCAGGAAUAUUGCAGGAUGGCUGGGAACUAAAGUGCACAGCCUUCCUGACAUGGGCUCUGUCACCAGUUUGCUUCAUGCUACACUACUGGCUAGGGCUCAGAAGUGAUUUGGAAUUACAGCAUUAGUUUUCCCUGAGCACCAUGGUCUAUCGUACGAAGGCACGCUACUGUGGAAUUAGGCUGGGCUGUUGUAAAGAAUAUUGACUUUCAGUUAAAUAUCUGAAGAUGAUCACCUUGUCCACCCAUUCUGUCAUUUCAGCCCUUUAUCCCAUUCACCGGACUCUGGGGGCACCCACCCCACUUUCCACAUGCCCCUUGCAUUCUGCUGCCCUGCUCUCUGGUGCUCAUGCAACUCUUGUCUCCAGCUGUGCUCUGCCCUCCGUGCCCACUUUAGUUCAUUUCUUGUGUGUGUUUGCUACCCCUGGCUUGUUUCACAACCAGGGCCACAGAUAGCCAUCUCUUUGGCAGCUCAGGGACUGCCUUUCCUCCCUCUCCAGAUGUUUGCUGUAGUGGCUCCUGAUAGUGUGGUUUUGGGUAAACGAGACAGGUGCUGUUUUGUGCACAGUUUGAUUCUCUGGUGCAACGCCUCUGAAGCCAGUUUUGCUGAGACUACAGGGAAAAUAAAUGGGGUUAUCUACUAAGUCUUUCAUAUCCUGCCAAAACUCUAUCCCUGUUACUUUUUCAAAUGGCCAUUUUCCUUUUACCUAAUCUACUAACAGGAAGACUGGUCAGCAGAGAGAUACCAGAAGCAAUAGUUGAUAGAUUUAAUACCCUUUCGUAGUUCACAACAAUAAUACACAUUUUGUAAGCUUUACAGCGAACAAUGUUUUUUGAUAUUUUUCAUAAUUAAACAGCAUACAAGUUAGUAAACUGAACAAGCCUUCAACAAAAGUUCCUUCUACAAAAGAUAUGUUUGAAAUACUUGAAAAAGCAUCAGAAAUUCCAUUUUGGUUUAAGCAUGCCUUUCAACUAUCUAGACAAAAUACUACCAUAUGAUUCCCUUAUCUUUUUCUCAAUAGAAGGUAAUAUCUCACUUUUAGCUUAGAAGUUCUGUGUUCUACUGAUAAUCAUUUAGACCUGCGUUAGCAUUGAAGACCUAAGUUAGAUGAGCUAUUAUUGUAUAGCUAUUAUUAUAUAUUAUAUGUUACAUUAUAUAGCUAUCUAAGCGUGCUCUCUGUUACCAAAUGAACAAAUGAACAGUCAUUGUCUGCAGUUUCUACAUUAUGAUCAGAAAGCGAUACCAUCCAUGUUUCAUUUGGUCAUAAAGUCUACCUUAAGACAAAAACCAACCAACCAACCAACAACAAAAGUUUAGGGAGUCUCUUGAAAUGUCCUUGGGUUUGGAGUUUUUUGGGUGUGAAGGAUUUUUGUGAACUUUAGCUUGAGAUAGACAGUCGUAGCUCAAAUAAUGCAUUCUGAUAUUCUUCAUUAUUGUGAUCCAAAGCAAUGGCUUUUUCAUAGCACUCAAUUGCUUUUUGUUUCUCACCAUUUAGCUUAUGAACAAGUCCAAGUGUUCCAAAAUCUGUUGCAUUUCUUGAACCUCUCUCAAUUUUUUGUCUUAACAAUCUCUGCACAGCUUCACUGCACUUAUUUCUUCCAAAGGACUCUUCUUUCAUUUUCAGCCCUUCUAUAUAAUACUCAAUGGCUUUUGAUACUGACCUCAUGUGAAAACGCUGAAAAUUGCCAUAAUUGUAGUAGAGCUCUUGUUUUUCAUGACAGAGUAGAUUAUUUCUCUGAAAAAGUUCCUGAAAUAUCUUUUCUGCUUCUUUGUAUCUCUUGCCUAGUGCAUACACAUUUGCUAGGCCAGUUUGGGUAGCAAUAAAUUUUUUCUUUUGGUCUGCCGCAAAUUUAAAAUGAGAAAUGGCAAGUUCGAUGAGUCUCUCCAUUUGAUCUUGAGGUGCAUUUCUUGUUCUUUGCAAUUGAAAUACUUUUUCUCUGUAGCAGAUUCCUAGUUGGUGAUGCAAAAAGCCAGAAUUUGGUGUCAGUGCUAGGGCCUUUUCCAAAAUCUUCGCUGCCUUGCCCACUUCUCCUUUCCUUCUGUAAAAUUUAGCAGCAUAUCGCAGGAAAUAAGGAAGAUCAGGGGUUUUUUGCAUAGCUUCUUCAAUGUACCUCUCACCUUCAUCAGCUCGAUUUAAGUCCUGAAGUUUUAAUGCAAGUAAUGCCAUGACACAAGUAUCCUCUGGAUUCAGUUCCACUGCCCGCUUCAAGGCCUCAGUGGAUGGGCUUGUGUCUUCACCACAUCUGGAAGCUAAAUUUUCCCAGCGAUACAGUGCUGUUGCAUAGCCAGCAUUAAAAUCUGGGUUAUCAGGUUCAUCCUUUAGAGCAUUUUCAAAGCAAUUCUUUGCUCUCUCAUAGUGUUUCCCCCCAAAACGUAAUAAUGCCCAUCCUUGCUCAGCAUAGACCUCUGGAAGCUGCAUCUUCCCAUCAGCAGUAAUGGAAAGCUUUUUGCAGCUGUCUUCCACUUUGCUUACAUAAGUUUGAGCUUCUUCAUAUCUCUCCAUGUGGUAAUAGAUCCAGGCAUAGUUCCCCCAGGUAACAAGACUUCUCCUGGCAAUUUCAUCUGGAUGACAUUUUUGAACAAUUUCUUCAGCUUUCUGGAGAUUUCUCAGGGCUUUCUCAUUUGAAUUCUUUAGGUGACAUAUAUAGGAUAGCAGAUUAUAAUCUGUUAGGUUAGAUUCUGUGAAAUAUUUGAUCUGAUUGACUAUUGUUUCUUCUAGGUCAUCAAUAUCUACAUCCUGCUUCAGCAAAGUCCAUGUAAAAUGACAUUGUAACUGCAGCAGGGAAGUCUUCAAGGAAUUCUUGGAAAUGAAACUGAACCUUGUUGGAGAAGCAAUAACAUGACAAUAUUCAAAAGCAUCCUUAUUUUAUUUUGAUUCUUCUAAAUCCAACCAUCACGUGGUCUGUGACCACUUUCACGGGAAACAGAAAGUGAAACUUCAGCUUUUCUCUGAGUCUGCCGAAGACGCAGAGCAGUCUGCAGUUGGAGAAUCGAAACUGCUGCACAAUAAGCUGCUCUUUUUCAGCCUGGCUCUGUGCCAUAUAUUACUCUGUGUUGUGGAGAAUGUGGCAAAAGCUCCUAGUGCUUCCAGCAUUUACUCUGUUCAAAGGCAGGGGUUAUCUAUGAUAGGGGGAAUAUUUCAGUCUAGUGUGGGCUGACCUGGUUAUCAUGUACAGGCUCGGGAAGGGUCAUUUCCUCCUCUUACCUCUGCACCUUUGCACACCUACAUCAUGCUUUAGGCUCCUAUUUUAUUUGUGUUUGGUCAUGCACGUGAGCACAGCCCCUGCUUUUUCUCCUUCAUCCUGUGCCUCCACAUCACAAGGUCUCUGCUGUUGUACCAGGCCUGUGUUUCUCUGGACUGUGUCAUUGUUUGAGAGUACUAAAUAUCUCAUCCCACCUGCAGGAACUGUUUGUUGCUUCUCCCUACAUAAACCCAAAAUUAACCUUUCGUAUACCAAGUUAGAUAUAGGCAGUCAGUUCAAGAAACUGCUGUCACAGUUGUGCCAAACAAAACAAAGUCACAGGUGGGUCAGGACAAGGUCAAACUGAGCAGACCUGGCAAGCCUCAGUCCCGAGGCCAUGCAAACUCAGUGCAAAGCUUAUGGCCUGUUGGGAGCAACAGCAAUGCUGUGUUACAGAGCUACACACACGGUAACAAAGAGAAGGGCACAGCUUGGGGACUGUAUGGAUACGAACAACUCAUUGAUGCUUAGUUUAAAAAAUUAAAAAAUGCAGACUGGUUUUGUAAAAUUUGUUCUGUAAAUAAGUACUUUAACAGCAUUAUUAUUGCCUCUUUUUUAAUAAUUAGAUCCAGACUAAUGAUAAUUCUUGCAUAUAGGCUAUUACUAUGUAAUAUGCUAUUUAUUGAUUGUAGACUGUUUUUCAUUGUAGUAACAAAAAAACCUUUAUCUAUAUAAUAUUUGUUUCAUCUUUACCCAUAAAUAUCACAGAACCUCUCUCCAUUCUUGAAUCCAUUCCAUUUUUAAACUUGAGAGCAUCUUGUUAAAAAACAUGUUUAAUUUUUAAUUUGAGGUGUCCCCCCUGCCCUGUCUUGUAGGAAUAAGCAAAUAAAAAUGCAUAUAAGGCUGCCUCAAUUGGCUUCUUUUGUGAAGUUUUUAGUGGAGGAUGCACAGGUUGUCCCUCUGUCCUAAGCCAGAAAUCACUUAUAUCAAACCUCAUUAUCACCUCAGAAUUGCUGCUGCUGCCAUCAUGUUCAAUCUCUGCAACUACAGACAAGAAUAAAUGGUAUUCCAUGUUUUUAUUUAUAAAUUUAUAUAACCUCUGACUGCCAAUUUGUAAUUGAGAAUUGUAGGUUCUGGCUUAUAAAACUUUAUCUUCUGUGGUAUGAACAGUCUAUAUCCCCACCUUCCCACAUAUGUAAGGCAGAGGGAACCUGUGGA